UGAAGAACAAAAUUUUCUAUAAUUUUCGAGCAAGUUUUCUUUCUUUUAUCAGAAUAUUGCUUUACAUGCUCAAGUCAAGAACGUACUUUUCUGAAAGUUUGGCCCACCUCCCGUUUUGGAUCUGCUUGAAGUGCAUUUUGUAAUGACUUUCAUUGAUUUGAAUCGUCGUCAAAGGACGAGGACGACACUCUUAGCCGGUACUCCAGAUUCCAUGCUACACAAGCGCGAGGUCGUUUGUUUUUCGAGUAUGGAGCACAUUGCUUGGGGAUACCAUUUUGAUACAGUUGAGUGUCUGUGGAGUGUCUGGCUUGUCAGAAUGUAUUCAGAGGAUUUAAAUGAACAUCAGUCCCUGAUUGUCAAAUGCGCAGAGUAGACAACUGUUUAGGAGCUCAGAAGACCCAAAUCCUUUUUAUUUGAUUUAUGAGAAUCACAAACUUAUUCACACUAAAAUCAAAUAUUGUUAAAUUUUAGAACUUUAUUCUUUUCUUCUUAUUUUCAUGCUUUCAAAUUCUCCCAUUGUUUAUGGAAGUCCAAUAUAUUUGUAAUUAAUUACCUCAUUAAUGAGCAGCUUAAGGAAGCUGUGAAUUAGAAUAUUUAUAUUCAGUUUGUAAAAAAAAUUGAAAGUUUUUAAAUCGUU